UUUUUUUUUUUUUUUUUAUAAUUAUUAUUGUGUCUAUGUUCGACACUAUCAUUUUUUUUAUUGCUGAUUUUGGAUUGUUUUUUCUCUCAUGUAUAGCUUCUCUGUGUAUAGAAAGGUUGAAUCAUGCUAUAUAAUGUGUCUGCAAGGUGCUCAACAAAAUGUCACAAUGGCAUUGCAAAGAUGAGAUUUGUCAUCUCAGUUCUGUUAUUUCUUGUGUUCAUUUCAUGUGGAGGUAAAAACACCUUUUGGGUACUUUUUCAAAAGCUUCAGUUUUGAUUUGUAUUUAUGUUUUUGCUUGAUUCUGUUUUUCUCGUUUUCAAAAAUUGUAGUUGCGUAUGAUCCAUUGGAUCUGAAUGGGAACAUAACAAUCAGAUGGGAUGUAAUGUCUUGGAUAACAAUCUCAUAAAUUUGUUCUCAUGUUUGAAAUUACAUUCUAAGUGUUUUAUUUUUAUUUUUUUCUCUUUCUCUCUCUUAUGUUUAAGAAGUUAAUCAGAUGUAAUUUACACUGACGGUUCCUAAAAUAUGCGAUUGUUUAUACUUUAGUCCCACAUCUUUUAAUUAUUCCACUUUGAUCUCCAAAAUAUAUGACCUAGACACUGUAGAUUUGCUUGAGCAAUUACCUACUUUUCAAGAGCUUCUUUUUCGCCUUCUUGCUUGCCACGUGACAUAGUGAUCCAUUAUGCUAGUCGUCAUGGUUUUGUCCUUUUCCAGUACGUAUACAGUGAUUAUCAUUUUAGUUCUUUAAUCAUAUAAUUUCUACUAUUUUUUAGGAGAUGUUGACCAUGUGCAUUUGUGCAGCUAGAGGGAGUAGCUCGAAAUAAUUUAUUAAUUCAAUAUGUGCUUGCAAUCGUAAGGAAUUACUGAAAGCUUUAUCCCAUGCACACCAGUUACUUGGUUUUGUUUGUCUUUGCUUCCUCUUAGCUUCUUCCUGCUUUAGGUUGCAGCUGAAAAUAUAAAGCUCUAUGUAGCUAUUACUGAUGGAACUCUCAAUUUGGUUGACAAGGUAGGCCUUUGAUCAUCUAGUGGUGCAGUCAGAUUGUUGCUUGUGCUCUUGUGAAAGUAAGCAUUGACUUGUAUUGUGUUUCAGUUUUUUGAGAUGCAACACCAUGCUGUUAGGGCACACUUGAAAUUUAUAGUAAGGCAAGGAAUCAGGUAUACAUUGUGUGAUUCUCUGCACGCCCGUACACGUGCACACAUGAGCACAUGCUUCCAUCGAACAUCUUCAUGUUUACACUCUACUUUUAUUGUCUGAUCUUUACAUUCUAGCUUCCUCUGUAGUUCUUCCGUACAAUCUUUAUCAGUUGUGGAAUAUAUUUGUAUGUUAUUAAUAAAGAACUAGUUACCAUUUUUUUUUGUCAUCCACACAUAUUAAUGACUUGAGCUUGAGCACAUGUGAAUCAUCCACAUCUCAAUGCUUCAAAUUUUUGUUUGAUAUCAUGUUUCAUAAUAUGUUGCCUUUAUUUUCUCUAGUCGAACUGUGAAGUACUUCUCUAAUAUGAGAAAAAAUUUGGCUACCGAAGUUUAUGGUUGGGCCAUCUCAUUGAAAGCAAUGAUGAGCAUUGUGGUGCUUAUAGGGCUUACAAUCUGUUUUAUUUAUUGGUGGGUGAAUAAUUAUGCACCCCUUCCAGCUCGAAAUAAGAAGAUGGCCAAUUUGGAAUGGGUUUUAUUGGAGAGACUAAUAGAUCACUUGCAGCCAAAUGGAAGAAAAACCAGAAGGUGGGUGGUAGUAGCUUGUUGCACACAAAUAUGAAAGCUCUUUUUAAUUAAAUGUGUCUGAAAAAGAAUGUGUGUACCGCCCCGAAAUAUACACAAUAUAUCCAUCCCGUAACGACCAAUAAAUAGCAACAUAAAUGAAUUUGUAAGCUUUCAUUAAUCAGAGUUUGAUAUACGAAAGG